GGGUGUGAGGGCAAUCUGGCUGCGACAUCUGUCACCCCAUUGACCGCCAGGGUUGAUUCGGCUGAUCUGGCUGGCUAGGUGGGUGUCCCCUUCCUCCCUCACCACUCCAUGUGCAUUCUUCCCGAAGCUGCGCGCUCGGUCGAAGAAGACAACCAUUCCCGCUAGAGGAAGACCGGUCUUCAGUCAAGGGUAUACGAGUAGUUGCGCUCCCCUGCUAGAAACUCCAAACAAGCUCUCAAGAAAGUUAGCUUUAUCUGUGCACCAAAGACAGUAUAGAUAAAUGCCUUAGGGGACUGUCAGCAAGCUUUGCUUGCAUUUCUGAC
rnacentral:snRNA from 1 species